CUACGGGAGGCAGCAGUCGGGAAUAUUGCGCAAUGGAGGAAACUCUGACGCAGUGACGCCGCGUAUAGGAAGAAGGUUUUCGGAUUGUAAACUAUUGUCGUUAGGGAAGAUAAAAGACAGUACCUAAGGAGGAAGCUCCGGCUAACUACGUGCCAGCAGCCGCGGUAAUACGUAGGGAGCAGGCGUUAUCCGGAUUUAUUGGGUGUAAAGGGUGCGUAGACGGGAAGACAAGUUAGUUGUGAAAUCCCUCGGCUUAACUGAGGAACUGCAACUAAAACUAUUUUUCUUGAGUGUUGGAGAGGAAAGUGGAAUUCCUAGUGUAGCGGUGAAAUGCGUAGAUAUUAGGAGGAACACCGGUGGCGAAGGCGACUUUCUGGACAAUAACUGACGUUGAGGCACGAAAGUGUGGGGAGCAAACAGGAUUAGAUACCCCCGUAGUC
rnacentral:rRNA from 1 species